rnacentral:lncRNA from 1 species
CUUCACUGUAAUGCUCAGACCUCUCCAUCCUGGUGGCAAGGGCUUAGACCAUUAUUCAUGGUCUGACUGGCCUGGAGGUGGCCAUCUUGCCUUUGAAAAAGGGCAGACACAGAGCAUGUUCAGAGCACGGAGCCAUACUGUGCGAUUUCUUCAAAGAGAACUUAACCACAGAAUUUGGAUUAAUGAAUGACGUGACUGCUUCAGGGCAACAGACCCUCACAGCAGCUGCUUAGCCCAGGAAGCAGCAAGGUCAAUACAAGGAGAGCCACAGGCCUGGGGAGAUGCAUGCCUUCCUUCCUGGCCAGGUGGAUCUCACUACUUAGCCCAGAUGGCCUGCGAGAAGGACAAAGCCAAGCACUUCACAACGCUGUCAGUUGCUGUCCUGAAGAAGGUGGCCAGGAGCUCUAGAAGGAUUCAAAGCCCCAGGGAUUUUUGGUUUUUAUGUAUACGCUUCUCUUUACAUACUUGUUCCUCAACAUCCAAUCAGCCUUGCAGGGAGGCUAUAAUAGCCAGAAAAAUAAGCAAACAGAAGAUUCCAGGUUCUACUUUAUGCCAAUUUUUCUUAAAUAUCUCAGUCACUAGAAAAAGAUCUAUUUGAAAAUCUUGCUCUGAGCAGUUUCUGUCUUGGGCCCAGUUGUUUGAGGAGCCUGUUGGAUUUUUAAAUUUAUUAGUGUUCCCAUGCUUCAUUCAUUGGCGUAUAGGUAUAUUCUCUAUACUUUAUAAUUACAAGUAAGCUCUUGAUAAUAAAAAGUAACUGUCA